UGUCCAUAUCGCGUCCGUCCGUCUAAGACCAGUUCUGUACCCAAAAAUGACGUGCAAAAUAGGUAUACUAUUUUGACGUCAAACUAUGAGGUCCAUUAGACGUCUGAAUAUAGUUAAUCAUUUACCCAAUGGGGACUGCCUAAACAGAUGUGUCAAAAAAAUAACACAUUGGGAUGUGUAGACAGCAUUGACAGAUUAUGUGUCAUUUUUGUGUAAGAUUUCACAGAAUGUGUGAAACCUGAAGUUAAGAGAUUCAUUUCUGGGUCGUGCUACAACAAGUGAGAAACUAACGGCCGUUUGGCUGUCCAAUCGCGUGACUGUGGACAUUUGAAAGCAGACUUCCGCCCGCCUUUUCUACCGUUGGAAAUGCAAGAUGCGGCGACUUGACUUCAGACACCGAGAGAGGCUGGCGGCCCAGGUCUUGUGGCCACAUCUGUCCAAGCUCCUACUCUGAUUGAACAGUUGGAUGAUCAGACUGAUGAUGAAAAGUGCUACACAGUUCUCACACAUCUUCUGACUCCGAAGCCGCUGCAGUGUAAAAUCUGAGAUGUCUUUUCUGGUUGAUUUUGUGCAGAUUUCUGACAGCGACAGCGAUGGUGAGGGAAGCAGUGUACCGAACUCUCAGAUGACUCGGACCAGGUGACCAAACCCAUGCAAAGCACAAUGACUGUGCUGAGGCGUUCCGCCCCCCUCCCCCUCCACACCACUCAAGGCACGGCGGCGGCCCAACCGCAAACUAACGGAGAUUAACAUGAGGCUGGAUGCGCUUGGCUCCCUGCUGCGUCCAUCACCAGAGGGGCCGGGAUUGCUGCGGCAGCUAGCCAAUUAAAGGAGGAGGAUGAAGGAGAGGAGUCUGACGAUGCCGACAUCGCCAUCGUAUGCAGUCCACGCCCUCGCAGGAAAACCAGCCAAUGAAAACGCUUGCAGCAGCAUCAGCAGAACACACCGGCACGACUGACAGAGCUUCUGAAGCAUGCAGUGGAAGACCUGUCAGUCAAGCUAAAGGUCCCGCCCUCCAACCUGCUGCUGCUGCACGGAGAGGCGGAACUUAACACCUCACACACUAUUGGCCAGCUAGGACUCUGCAUCGCUGACAUCUUUGUCUGGAACCAACUUCACAUCCCUCUUCACUGCACUACUGACACUGAGAUGGAAUCCACAACCCAACCACUAGUGGUCUGCAUUGGGAACCUGAAGACUCUGUCAUAACCGCCAGGAAUGACCGUGUGACCAUUCCCGUUGCAGACGGCCUGACUUGCACAAUUGACAAGCUGUUCAAGCUUUACUGGGUCUGCAACUUGUUAUAUCCAGCACAGCUCAGCUCUGUUUUCACCUUCUUUGAAUAUGUUUAUGACG